UUCUUUUUCCUUUCAUUCCCAGACUCCCCCCAAACCCUCAUCCGAAACCCUCCGUCCCUAAACCCUCGUCCAAGCUCGUGCAAAACCCUCCAUCCGAAAGGCCCUCUCUUACCGUCGUCCAAGCUUGGUCGUGUGAAUCAGUAAAACCUGAGCAUCUCGUAUUUUGAUAUCAUCGAUCUCAUGGUUUUGCGUGUAACAAGUUAUUGGCAACGAUGAAUCAAGGCCGGACUUACGGCUGCUUCCGUUUGGACGGUAGUAGAUUGACGAUAUGUCUGCAGUAAGAUUGCUUUUGCACUAUAAAAAUUGUUGACCAAUCUCAUAAAAAACUUGGAAUUACUACAAAUAUUUUUGCUGAAAGUUUGGAAAAGCUUCCUCAUGUUGCUUCAGCAGGAGAUAUCAUUGAACUUUCGCAUGUUACGGUGGUCAAUGACUAUCUCAGAAAUCAAGUGAUAAUUGCAGAUGAAAACUCAUCAGGGGGAAAUAUAUGCUGUCUUCAAUAAGAAGUUUUCUUCAUUUGCUUUGUAUGAAGGAAAAGAUGGAUCGGACUUUCUACCAUAUGACGUAUCGCCAAAAUUUCGAUGCAUCCGCUUGGAAAAGGACUAUUGCAGGGGCUUUUGUUUAACCAUUGUGCACAUAGUGUUACAAGGGCAAUUCUGGUUUAUCUAUUACUAGAUAUGAUUAAAUCUGAGGCUGAAGGUUUUGUGGGUGGAGUUGCAACAAUCAAUUCUCAAAGGCUCUAUGGUUGUCAGUCAAAUGUUGUUUAUGGUCGAUCACAGUUGUUGGAUGGUAGUACUUUCUUCCCUUAAUUUUUGUCUCAUGUAAACCGUUGUUUGUUUACACCUCGAUGUUUUAUAUUGAGUGGAAAUUAACAUUUGAAUCACCACACUGAUUGAAUGUGAGAUUUACUGUUUAGUGAAUUAUCACAGGCAUAGUUAUUUGGUUAUUUUUUUGAUGGAGAGAUAUACAUAAUUUAUAACUAAUACUAUCUAUUUUAUUUAUCAAAUUUUAUCUCCUUAGGUUCCAUUUUAAAAAUGUGAUAGAAGAUUUUAAAUUUAACAAACUAAUCCCUGUUUUCUUAGGUUUAUUGUGAUGAGUGAUCUAUUUUCUAUAAUUAUUGAUGUAGUUCAUUCUUCCAUAUUGUGAACUUUGGUGCCUUAUCUACUUAGCUAUGUUGGGACUUGUUCUAUUGUUGUGAACUUGUGAACCAUAAUUUAAAGUGUUUGAAAAUCUAAUUUAUACUUAGGGACAUGGCAGACUUAUGUUGUGAAAGAUCAGAGUGUUUGCCACAAAAUCAAUUAGGAAGUACCCAUGGAAUAUGCUAUUACCCUGACGGUUAAUCCUUUGACUACAUUGAGAAUGUUGGAGGAUUGUCUCUUUAAAAGUAGUUUUUUUUUUUUUUCCUGAGAUAAAAUCAGGUUUAAUUAUGGUAGAAAUUUUGUCUCUUUAAAAGCAGCUUGAGAUCAACAGCUAGAUAAUGAACAACAUAUAAUGUAUUUGUUGACAUUCAUGUAAAUAAUUUAUUUAUAAGCUAGGCUAACAAAUCUUGAAGGGCACACUUGAGCACUUUUAAGAAAUGUUCAUAGUUUCAAGGGGUGGUUUACACGUCUUAGGUAACAAAAUAAAUGUUAUGUAGUUUUGAGAGUCAAAGUAACACUAAGACACUUUUUUCGGAGCUUUUUAGGUUGUUUUAAGAGUUAAAGUGUGACUUAGGCACUUAAACCACAACUUUUUUCUUGAAAUUAGUUGAAAGUGAGAUGCACAUUUAUCCUAUUUAUGUGUUGCAUGAUAAGGUAUUUGCUUUUAUUUCUCUGCCUAGUGAUUAAUAUUUUUGUCUAAAUAAUAUAUUUGAAAGACAGGACAACCUCAUGGUGGCUUCCCUGAGAAGAACUUUUCACCAAAUAUAGAGAAGUUAGCAGGUGAGAAACUUGGUUUUAAAGACGGGUGAGUAACUUGGAAUUAAAUUCUCUUUGUUCGUUACUUUUUUUUUUUCCAGUUUUGUACCAAAUUAUGGGGGAGAUCAUAGAUUUUGAAAGAAAUUAAUGUAGACUACUGGACUAUUAUGAUUGAAGAGUGACUUUAGUUUACAUAAGUACUACAGUCAGCAACAAUAAUAUUGACUAUAUGUAUGUACAAUGUAUCAAUUUUUGAGAAGUCAAUACAAACUGCCUUGUUGCAGGUAGUAAGCCAAUAGCCUUCGUUAAAAUGAUCUGACUUGCUGUUUUUGUAAGUAUUUAUUAGUUGAAGGGAUCAAGGAGGAGAGUCAUUCAGUAAAUCAAUAUACUGAUAUUGUAGAUGCAGUACACUUCUUUUGGUUUGUAUCUAAAUAAAUACAUUUAGAUAGUUCUUUUUUGUAGUUCUCUUCUAAGGUUUCUUUCAAUUGUUUAACACAUUUGAACAGCACCAUAGUAUGAUUUUUAAUAUUCUAGUUGUUAGCUCUCAUAUGAGUAUGAAGAUCAAUGCUGCCAAUAUGCUAAAAGUAUGAUUUUCUUUUUUUCUUUCUAUCUUUUUUCUUUUUUGGUUUAGCAGUUAUUGUAGUUUUUGAGCUAGUGAAGCAAGUUGUGUGCAUUGAAAUUUUAAUGUUUAGUAUGAACCUUGUAGGUUGCUGUUUAUGAAGUAAUUAUAAAGGGAAUGAAGGUGGGGAGUCUAUCUCUUUUCCUUGAUAUAUGUGUUCUUGAAUAUUCAUUUUUUGGGAAUUCUAAUAAUUCUGUUGAGAACAAGUGGUUGUGAAAUAUUUUUGGGAGUGUGUUUCUUUGAACAGGUUCAAAGUAAAUUUUUGGUUUUAUUGUGGUAGCAUCGUUAUGCUGUCGAAAAUUUUCCACGUCUUCAUAUCUCAUAUCUAGGUGCAACAAAAGAGUAAGGAUUUGGUAUCGCAACCAUUUAUGCACAUUCCCAAUAAACACGGAAAAUCUCAACAACUUGGUGAUUGGACUUGCAUUAAAUUCCAUACCCUGGAACAAUCGCCUGCCACUUCUGAAAUGUUCAGACGCCACCAGUCAGAUGCUCAUGCCUGCAAGUGAUGAUUUGACAUGAAAUGCAUGAGCCAAUGUAUCCUUCAUGUGUCAAAUAUUCUCGGACACAUACCCCUUGCAUUGGCCUUGGUUGUAACACUUAGUAAAUUUCUUUGAUUCCUUCGUAGAAAUGCAUUAGUGAAGUAGUUUUUUUUUACUAAAAAUGAUACUUUUAUAUACAUUUAUCACGUGUAUGGAAUUUCAUGUGUUUUCUCUUAUAAUGAGUGUGUUUAUAUCACUAAAGAUCCUAAUUAUUUCAACUUUGAGAGAAUGAUAACUUGUAUUUCUACAAAUUAUCAUAAAGCAUUCCGAAGUUAUCAGAAAACAACACUAACUCUAUACCAAAUACUCGUUUACAAUAAUCUGGACAAGGAAUGCUACUCACAGUGUGAACCAAAUAACAAGGUCAUACACGCACGCAAGCUUCCUCAAGGCUAAAUAUUGAUACACACCACAAGUCAAGGUUACUCUAGAUUUUUCGGUAUACUCUGGCCACAUCUAUCCCAAUAGCCCCCUAAUAACCUGGGUGGCGCUACAGGCACAUGUUCCUCUAGACUUCCCGAUAUACUUUGGCCACAUCUAACCCUGAUAGCCCCCUGAUCACCUGAGUAAUGCUAUUGAAACAUACUCAAGUAGCAUGGGAAAGAACCAUCUCUCGGGUACAAGAACUAAUAGUUUGAAACCACUUUCACAAAUCAUUCAGCAUCAUUUAUUCACCAUCAAGAAGUUUUCUUACAAAACCAUA